GUUAGGAGGUGGGGUUUAGGGUAAGGGUUAUGGGCUGGUUUAGGGGUUAGGGGGUGGGGUUUAGGGUAAGAGUUAUGGGCUGGUUUAGGGGUUAGGAGGUGGGGUUUAGGGUAAGAGUUAUGGGCUGGGUUAGGGGUUAGGAGGUGGGGUUUAGGGUAAGAGUUAUGGGCUGGUUUAGGGGUUAGGAGGUGGGGUUUAGGGUAAGAGUUAUGGGCUGGGUUAGGGGUUAGGAGGUGGGGUUUAGGGUAAGGGUUAUGGGCUGGUUUAGGGGUUAGGAGGUGGGGUUAUGGGCUGGUUUAGGUGUUAGGGGGUGGGGUUUAGGGGUUAGGGGUUAGGAGGUGGGGUUUAGGGUAAGAGUUAUGGGCUGGGUUAGGGGUUAGGAGGUGGGGUUUAGGGUAAGAGUUAUGGGCUGGUUUAGGGGUUAGGAGGUGGGGUUUAGGGUAAGAGUUAUGGGCUGGUUUAGGGGUUAGGAGGUGGGGUUUAGGGUAAGAGUUAUGGGCUGGUUUAGGGGUUAGGAGGUGGGGUUUAGGGUAAGGGUUAUGGGCUGGUUUAGGGGUUAGGGGGUGGGGUUUAGGGUAAGAGUUAUGGGCUGGUUUAGGGGUUAGGAGGUGGGGUUUAGGGUAAGGGUUAUGGGCUGGUUUAGGGGUUAGGGGUUAGGAGGAGGGGUUUAGGGUAAGGGUUAUGGGCUGGUUUAGGGGGUGGGGUUUAGGGUAAGAGUUAUGGGCUGGUUUAGGGGUUAGGAGGUGGGGUUUAGGGUAAGGGUUAUGGGCUGGUUUAGGGGUUAGGAGGUGGGGUUUAGGGUAAGGGUUAUGGGCUGGUUUAGGGGUUAGGGGUUAGGAGGUGGG